rnacentral:rRNA from 1 species
AUUGAACGCUGGCGGCAGGCCUAACACAUGCAAGUCGAACGAGUGGCGGACGGGUGAGUAAUGUCUGGGAAACUGCCUGAUGGAGGGGGAUAACUACUGGAAACGGUAGCUAAUACCGCAUACCAUCAGAUGGGCCCAGAUGGGAUUAGCUAGUGGGUGGGGUAACGGCUCACCAAGGCGACGAUCCCUAGCUGGUCCGAGAGGAUGAACAGCCACACGGGAACGGAGACACGGUCCAGACUCCUACGGGAGGCAGCAGUGGGGAAUAUUGCACAAUGGGCGCAAGCCUGAUGCAGCAAUGCCGCGUGUAUGAAGAAGGCCUUCGGGUUGUAAAGUACUUUCAGCGGGGAGGCGUUACCCGCAGAAGAAGCACCGGCUAACUCCGUGCCAGCAGCCGCGGUAAUUC